CGUCGUCCGUCGUCGUCGUCCGUCCAUAACUUUUACAAAAAUCUUCUCCUCUGAAACUACUGGGCCAAAUUUAACCAAACUUGGCCACAAUCAUCAUUGGGGUAUCUAGUUUAAAAAAUGUGUCCGGUGACCCCGCUUACCAACCAAGAUGUCCGCCAUGGCUAAAAAUAGAACAUAGGGGUAAAAUGCAGUUUUUGGCUUAUAACUCAAAAACCAAAGCAUUUAGAGCAAAUCUGACAGACGUAAAAUUGUUUAUCAAGUCAAGAUCUAUCUGCCCUGAAAUUUUCAGAUGAAUUGGACAACCCUUUGUUGGGUUGCUGCCCCUGAAUUGGUAAUUUUAGGGAAAUUUUGCUGUUUUUGGUUAUUAUCUUGAAGAUUAUUAUAGAUAGAGAUAAACUGUAAACAGCAAUAAUGUUCAGCAAAGUAAGAUUUACAAAUAAGUUAGCAUGACCAAAAUGGUCAGUUGACCCCUUUAGGAGUUAUUGCUCUUUAUAGUCAAUUUUUAACCAUUUUUCGUAAAUCUUA
rnacentral:lncRNA from 1 species